rnacentral:rRNA from 1 species
UACGGGGGGGGCAAGCGUUGUUCGGAAUUACUGGGCGUAAAGGGCUCGUAGGUGGCCAACUAAGUCAGACGUGAAAUCCCCAGGCUCAACUUGGGAACUGCGUCUGAUACUGGAUGGCUUGAAUUCGGGAGAGGGAUGCAGAAUUCCAGGUGUAGCGGUGAAAUGCGCAGAUAUCAGGAGGAACACCGGUGGCGAAGGCGGGUCUCUGGGCCGUAACUGACGCUGAGGAGCGAAAGCGUGGGGAGCGAACAGG